ensembl:snRNA U6 U6 spliceosomal RNA
GUGCUCACUUGGUCUGCCCAUCUAAGAAAAUUGAACAAUACAGAGAAAAUAAGGAUGGCCCCUGCACAAGGAUGACACACCAAUUCAGGAAGAAUCGGCCUUUGCA